GCUGCAGCAUGCACACAGAACGACGUCGUUGCUCAGAGUGUCACCUGUACCGGACCAGUUUUGGAUUUCUGUGGAGUUUGAGGGCUUUAUACAACGUGCAACACAUAAAGGGAUGUCAGAGUCAUGAAUGACAGAUGGCCAGGACAUAUAGCUGAAGAAGAAUAGAAGUGGUUGCCCAGUCCCCAUAUCGGCCAAAAUUAAAAGAAAGCUGGCCCGUCGUCUUUGAACCAUUCCAGAUAAAUGAAGAAUUCUGAAGGUGUACUACAGUUCCACUACAAUCAGUGUUUAUGUCCCAGCUGGACAAGUACACUCCAAAAUUUCUUGACCUGUUUAGUGCGAAGGGUGGAGCAGCUAGUCAGCGCAUCAAGAACUUGUUAUUGGAACUGAUCCAGGGGAAAACGGAGAGCAGUGUCCAUGAGGACUUGAAAAUGCUCAAUAUGCACAUAUAUGUCUGCCGUGAACCAGAUGCGGUGGGCUUCAUCAUUGAGGGAAUCCCAGUGCUUACUGAUCUUGGCCAGGGCAUGUUGCCUGCUUCUGGGGAUGACAUGCUCUGAACCUGCAGUAUCCACCACAACUCUGCAAAACAUUUAAGGUGUUCCAAAGACCUUUUGUGGGACUAGACAUAGUGCGCCCAAAGCCUUCCUCCUGAUUUAUGACAGUAAAAAACAAACAUCUGAGUUUGAGCAAAUGCAAGCCUCACACUAAAUAGCAAUGUUGUGUUUUUGUUGAAUUUUCUAGAAGAUAGUUGUGAAUGUUUAAUUGUUAAUUGGCUGGGCUCAGAGCUUGUUUCUUUCACUCUUGUUCGAUGGACAGUUUAAUUUAGAACAAUGUGGUUGUCAAGCACAGAUGACUUUAGUUCCUGGGUAUGUCUGCAGCUUCUGGGCACUUGAUGUGCUGAAGUUUGUUUUGUUAUGUCAAGUGCUGAGGUCAGAUGCCCUUUAUUUUAUUUUUAUGUCAAAUAUUUUAUUGGAAUAUAGCACUGACUGUACUUCAAACAUGUUCUUGUAUUAGUUUAUUAUGUAUUGGUACAAAUGAAAAUGUAUUGUUGUGCACCAAAUUCAUUCCAUUUAUGUAAAUUGCUCAGGUCAAG